rnacentral:misc_RNA from 1 species
UAAAGAUUUAUCCUUUCUUUCAGUGACAUGCAACUCCUAGAACACAGAUUCUAACAUUUUUGAAUUACCUUGCUAUGAUAUAAGAACCCUAAAAACUUUGAAUUUCUUUUGCAUAUGUAAUCAAUUUCUCCCAUCCAAAGACCUUUAAGCUGUCUCAGAGAUACCAUCUUCCCCCUUGCAAUUCACGCACUGGGCAGUGCUUUCCAUAAUACAACUCUCUGUAUUGUAGUAG